rnacentral:rRNA from 1 species
GACGAACGCUGGCGGCGUGCUUAACACAUGCAAGUCGAACGGAAAGGCCCCAUCUUGCUGACGUGCUCGAGUAACGAACGGGUAAGUCAUGAGUAGGCGACCUGCCUUGCCCUCUGAACUACAGGUGACAAACUGGAAUACAUAACGGAAAUGCACUGCCCAUGGUGUGGGGGGUGGAAAGUUUUGGCGGUUCGAGAUGAGCUCGCGGCUUAUCAGCUUGUUGGUGGGGUAGUGGCAUACCAAGGCGUAGACGGGUAGCCGGCCUGAGAGGGUGAACGGCCACAUUGGGACUGAGAUACGGCCCAGACUCCUACGGGAGGCAGCAGUGGGGAAUAUUGCACAAUGGGCGGAAGCCUGAUGCAGCGACGCCGCGUGGGGGAUGACGGCCUUCGGGUUGUAAACCGCUUUCAGCAGGGGCGAAGCUUGUGGUGACGGUACCUGUAGAAGAAGCACCGGCUAACUACGUG